CAUUUCUCAUUAUACAUCUAGGGAAACAUUUAUAGUGUUUGGAAUCAGAGCAGCAACUGCUGGUAAAUGGGAACACUUUUCUGUUCCAGUUUCAAACUCAACUGUUGUGUUGUGUUCAUACUUCAAAUCUGUAUUUGCUGUCUGCUUCAAGUACAAGGACCAAAAAUUAUCCGAGUCACAGGUACUUCAUGGAAGAGCAGUACCUUGCUGGGUGCUUGGUUGGGAUACAAAGCUGCCACUGAAUGCCCAGGGAGAUAGUGCUACUGGGUGUGCCACCAUCAGUGCUGUACACACCCCAUACACCUUUAUCAGAGUGUGGGAGGAAAACCUUUCAAGUAAACUGGAAUAGCUUUAUAGGAAAUACUGUUCAUUUUGGGUCUGUAUGAGCAAUCACACCACCCCAAUCCUUGCCCCCUGUAUCCCUUGGGUCACUCCUGCACAACACAGAGGAGAUCGUGGCCAUACCCUGCACCUCCAUGAUCUUCCCUGGGGGAAAAGCUGUUUCCACUUUAUGAGGAUCUUCAUCUAAGGGGCUCUCAGAAAUUAAAUGAAGAAGUUUUGCCAUUCAAACAUAAAUAUGCACAUAUAAGGGCAGGUCCCCUGAAUCAGGCAUUUUUUUAACAGCUAUCAAAUAGAUCCACAUAAUCUGCAGAGAAAACCAGGAAGGUGCAGCUUACUAGCUGUCAAAUGAUCAAAAUAAUGAUAUUUAAGCUUAUAACAAAGUACUAGAACAGACAGGACAUUUGUCAUCAUGACUAACCUAUUAGAAAGAGAAAGAACCAUGCAAUGUUUUCCCUAAAGAAAACAGGGUAUGGAAUACCAGAGGUUGGAACAAGAAAGUGACAUUACAUUUUAUGUAAUCAAUCACUUAAACAGAAAUAUUUCUUAUAUUCA